ensembl:lncRNA
CUGAAGGAGACAUCCUCGUGUACAGACAGCUCCAGGUCCAGAAACACAUGUGUAAAAUAUUCUUGAAGAAAAGCAGUGUUCUCAUCACAAAAAUGACAACUAUGUGAGCAAUGAAAGAAUAAUUGUGCCCAUUUCCUUGGGAACCAUAGUUCUCACUCUGCAAGAAGGAACAAGCAAAUAUGGGAUGGCAGAAGCCAGGCAUGGUGGUGCACGCCUGUGAUCCCAGCACUUGGGAGGCUGUGGCAGGAGGGCUGUCAUGAGUUUGAGGCCAGCCUGAACUACACAGGAAGAUCCUGUCUCAAAAAACAUUAAAAAAUUAAAAUUAUCUUUCUCUUUCAAAUCUUACAACUAAUCCAUACACUGUAAUUUUUAAAGUAGAACAAUUUCCUGGCUUCAAAG